rnacentral:lncRNA from 1 species
AGUUCCUGGUGGUGAAUGUGUCCUGAGUGACAAGAGCAUCUGGGGCUCUGAGACAGGCAGAACUGAUGGCACCCUGGGACGAUUGGAGCCUGGAGAGGUGACACACAGGAGUGGAGAUGGAUAUGAAGCCCAGGGCAGGGUGGAAUUUCAGAGUUCAAGGUUCCAGAGGUGAGGGCGUUCUGGGCACUGACAAUGCCUUGUAACCGGAUAGGGGAGAUGGGUGGCAAGUGUGUGGAGUCUAGGACGAGGUCUGGGAAGUGAGAAAAUCCGAUACUGUGUGUUGUGGGUUCCAGUGUGUAGGUUUAUCAGAUCAAACUGCAAACGAAAGCCUGGUCACUCACAUGGUUUUCAAAUAUCACCUUCUCCGCAGCUCACGUCUCAUCAGAAAUGCGCUCUUUAGGGUGACUCUAAAACAGAAGCCCACUUGAAAGCUACAAACCGGGAUACUGGCAUCACCUCCACCCAGGGGGUUCAUAAAAGUAAGAGCUGUCAGUCUUACAUCACGAAGGUCUGGUUCCGUCUCAGAGAUCCUUUGCAAUGAAAUUCUAUGUCAGCCAGCUUUUGUUUCACUGCUGCGAUAGAACAGCUGGCGUAAACAAAGGAAAGGAAGAUUCA